rnacentral:rRNA from 1 species
UACGUAGGGUGCAAGCGUUGUCCGGAAUUAUUGGGCGUAAAGAGCUCGUAGGCGGUCUGUCGCGUCGGCUGUGAAACUCGGGGCUCAACUCCGAGCUUGCAGUCGAUACGGGCAGGCUAGAGUUCGGCAGGGGAGACUGGAAUUCCUGGUGUAGCGGUGGAAAUCGCGCAGAUAUCAGGAGGAACACCCGGUGGCGCAAAGGGCGGGAUCUCUGGGGCCCGAAGUACUGACGCUGGAGGAGCGAAAGCGUGGGAGCGAAGCAG